CCCUUAGAUGUCCUGGGCCGCACGCGCGCUACACUGAGUGUCUGAGAUACGAGUCUGCCUGGUCCGGCAAGGUCUAGGUAAUCGCUAAAAGACACAUCAUGCUUGGGAUAGAUUAUUGCAAAUAUUAAUCUUGAACGAGGAAUUCCUAGUAAGCGCAAGUCAACAGCUUGCGUUGAUUACGUCCCUGCCCUUUGUACACACCGCCCGUCGCUACUACUGAUUGGAUGUUUAAGCGAGGUUCUCGAACUGCUAGCGACUUAGCUUCGGUGAGGACGCAGUGUGGGAAGUGAACCUAGCUUUGGUGUCUAGAGGAAGUAAAAGUCGUAACA
rnacentral:rRNA from 1 species